rnacentral:misc_RNA from 1 species
UGUGCGUUUACACUCUAGAUUCUCACUCUAGCGUCCAGGGCACACCAACAACGGGGAACAAACCCAAACGAUUGUUCUUGCACUCGAAAUUUCUUGGGAACUGUGUACAAAGUUCUGUCAGAGAUGCAACGAGAUAUUAGGAAAUGGUUAAUGAAGGCCCAUGACAAAGGAAAUAGCAAUGCUGCAAAGCCUGCACAACCUGCCCCAACAAAUACAGAAAAGAAACCUCCUCUGGCUGAGUUAAAGCCUGAGACACCUAUUCAAGGAGACCAAGAAAAUUCUGGCAGAAGGAAAACUAGNNNNNNACUAGCAAGUAUUUUGCCAAGGACAAACAAAAACCAAAAGAUGAGAAAGAACUUGAGGAACUUCCAACAAAGAGAAAAACUAAAAAAGAUGACCAAUCAGUGAAACCGCC